rnacentral:lncRNA from 1 species
CAAUUCCCAAUCCUGUCACCGUGGACCUUAACAGGUUCAUGGCUUGUGAAAUUCCUAGAAAGGCUUGGGUGACAUAGGAAAUAGCUGGAGUUCUGGGCCCGCCCAGGUUUUGGGACAUUACAGGUAUGGAAGGACGUUGAUUGUUUUGGAGACCGUUAGACAGGAAGGUGAUCUGGUAUACCGUCCUAUGGCUCUAGCCUCGACUGGGGGUCGGGGGGUCGCAAUGUCAGAGUUUAGCAAGAGCCUUAAAUGGUGCACAGUAACCUGCAGGAUGGGCGGUUCUGGCCGUCCAGCCCGCGCGCUGAGAGGAGCUUAGACGGAGGGCGGGGCCCACCAGGGGGCGGGGCA